AGCUGGCGCCUGUCCCAAGAGGUGCACUGAUGAGCUACAGCAUGUCGGAGAAUGUGUGCAAAAAGAACUAUGUGCUUGUUAACAUUGAAAAUACUGUAUGUAAGAAAAUGCUGACAGCUUUCCACAGCAGGAGUCACCUGGGAUUUUCAGACGUGUUGAAUUGGUGGUUCUUCUAGCAGAAAAGGUUGCAGAGUUCCAGCUGUCUUCUCCACCAGCGCAUCAAUGACAUCAUGAAGGGUUGCACAGGGAAUCUGCAGAAGCCAAUGGAAACCGUCAGAUGAGUUGAAUUAUGGAAAAAGUACCAAAUUUCCUGUAACUCUAUGGAGCAAUGAUGUCUAGACUAGAACAUGGAUAUGUUUCAUCAGGAUAAUGCAAAAGGAAGCAUGAAUCAAUCAGACGGUGAUGAUUAAUUUAAUAAAAAGCAUUGUUAAUGGUGAAACUUCAGGCAGUUUCUAUCCUUUUCUUUAAAUUGGUGUUAAUUUAAUUUAUUGGUGAAUAAUGGCCAAAAUAACAUAAUAUGAUAGUCCAAAUUUAUGAACAACUGAGUAUAUA